GGGGGUGAUUGGCCUCGACUUGAGUGAGCCGGGGUUAGGUGGCAUGCCGAGGAUGAUGGUUGGCCUCGUUAAAGUUCCAUCAAACAAUAAACGCUAACGAAACUACGUUAACGACUGCCGACUUCGAUCUGGCCUGCGCGAACAGCGUUGCGCCCGUCGGAGCCGACGACCUCGUCUUAGCCUAAUUAAUUAGGCUAAGCCCUGUGGUAAAGGGAGUCUGUCGCUUUAUCAUUGGAACCAAACAGGCUGGUCUUAAGGAUCGCACUUGUUCUUAAGACGAGAUUUUAGAGUGCUGGUCUGGCGCGGGUUUGUCCGUUGAAACACGCCAGUCGACAAUAAAGACGGUCUACGCAUGUAGAUGCUUAAUCUUUGACACUGAAGGACCCGGGUUCGAUUCCCGGCACCUCCACCA
rnacentral:tmRNA from 1 species